rnacentral:rRNA from 1 species
UACGAAGGGGGCUAGCGUUGUUCGGAAUUACUGGGCGUAAAGCGCGUGUAGGCGGUUCUUUAAGUCCGGGGUGAAAUGCCAAGGCUCAACCUUGGAACUGCCUUUGAUACUGGAGAUCUUGAGUCCGGGAGAGGUGAGUGGAAUUGCGAGUGUAGAGGUGAAAUUCGUAGAUAUUCGCAAGAACACCAGUGGCGAAGGCGGCUCACUGGCCCAUUACUGACGCUGAGGCACGAAAGCGUGGGGAGCAAACAGG